GUCACAAUAGAAAAAAUACACUCAAUACCCUCUUGGAAACUAUUGUGCUUAUCUUUUUGAUUUCUCCCUGGCUAGAAAGUCUGUUGGCUGUCACGAUAAUCUAAUUUGUAUUUUACAAGUCUGAAUGGAAUAAAUGCUUAUUAAAAUCUCUUGCUUAUUUUCAAUAUUUUGGAUUUUCCCAUUCAGGCAAUGAGCUGAUUUAUUUGGACCCUCACACCACCCAAAGUUUUGUAGAUUCAGAAGAAAAUGGCACAGUUGAUGAUGAGAGCUUCCACUGCCAGCAAGCCCCACACAGAAUGAAGAUCAUGAGUUUAGACCCUUCAGUAGCUUUAGGCUUCUUUUGCAAAGAAGAAUGUGAUUUUGAUAACUGGUGUACUCUUGUACAAAAGGAGAUCCUAAAGCAGCU